rnacentral:rRNA from 1 species
GAUCCUGGCUCAGGAUGAACGCUAGCUACAGGCUUAACACAUGCAAGUCGAGGGGAAACGACAUCGAAAGCUUGCUUUUGAUGGGCGUCGACCGGCGCACGGGUGAGUAACGCGUAUCCAAUCUGCCCAUCACUUGGGAAUAACCUUGCGAAAGUAAGACUAAUGCCCAAUGAUAUCCCACGAAGGCAUCCGAAUGGGAUUAAGAUUAUCGGUGAUGGAUGGGGAUGCGU